rnacentral:rRNA from 1 species
AUACGGAGGAUCCGAGCGUUAUCCGGAUUUAUUGGGUUUAAAGGGAGCGUAGGCGGACGCUUAAGUCAGUUGUGAAAGUUUGCGGCUCAACCGUAAAAUUGCAGUUGAUACUGGCUGUCUUGAGUACAGUAGAGGUGGGGGGAAUUCGUGGGGUAGCGGUGAAAUGCUUAGAUAUCACGAAGAACUCCGAUUGCGAAGGCAGCUCACUGGACUGCAACUGACACUGAUGCUCGAAAGUGUGGGUAUCAAACAGGAUUGGAUACCCUGGUAGUCCACACAGUAAACGAUGAAUACUCGCUGUUUGCGAUAUACAGUAAGCGGCCAAGCGAAAGCAUUAAGUAUUCCACCUGGGGAGUACGCCGGCAACGGUGAAACUCAAAUGAAUUGGCGGGG